UACAGUAAAAUUAAAAACUUUUGUGCAUCAAAUGAUGCUUUUCAACAGUGAAAAGGCAACCUACAGAAUGGGAGAAAAUAUUUACAAAUAAUAUCCUGGAUAAUAGGUUAACCUCCAGAAUGUAUAAAGAGCACCUAUAACUCAACAAAAACAAGCAACUUUGGUUAAAAAUGGGCAAAGGAUUUGACUAUACGUUUCUUCAAAAAAGAUAUGUAGCUGGCAUGGUGACAUGUGCCUAACAUCCGUGCAAACAAUCCCAGGGCUGUUUUGCAGUGCUGGCAGUGGGUAUACUAGGAGACGGACGGUCAAGGGCCUGUGCCAGCCCGCACCAGGGCUCUUACCAGCAGCCUAGCACCAGUGAAAGGGCUCAUUGAGAACUGCUGGUCAGGGCCGCAGGCUACUAGACAACUUACGUGCCGAGUAGCAAGCAGAGGAAGCUGACCCGGGAAGUCCAUCCCAUUGGCAG
rnacentral:lncRNA from 10 species